AUUGAACGCUGGCGGCAGGCCUAACACAUGCAAGUCGAACGAGUGGCGGACGGGUGAGUAAUGUCUGGGAAACUGCCUGAUGGAGGGGGAUAACUACUGGAAACGGUAGCUAAUACCGCAUACUAUCGGAUGUGCCCAGAUGGGAUUAGCUAGUUGGUGGGGUAAAGGCUAACCUAGGGGGCGAUCCCUAGCUGGUCCGAGAGGAUGACCGGCCACUCGGGACCGGAGACACGGUCCAGACUCCUACGGGGGGCAGCAGUGGGGAAUAUUGCACAAUGGGCGAAAGCCUGAUGCAGACAUGCCGCGUAUAUAAAUAAGGCCUUCGGGUGGUAAAGUACUUUCAGCGGGGAGGCGUUACCCGCAGAAGAAGCACCGGCUAACUCCGUGCCAGCAGCCGCGGUAAUUC
rnacentral:rRNA from 1 species